GGCCUGAUGGUCUAGUAGUAUGAUUCCUCGUUCGGGAGAGCAAUCUUCAGGGCUUCUGAGCCUUGCUUCGAGGAGGUCCCGGGUUCAAUUCCCGGUCAGGCCC